rnacentral:rRNA from 1 species
GACGAACGCUGGCGGCGUGCUUAACACAUGCAAGUCGAACGGUGAAGCGCCUUCCUUUUUGGUGGGUGUGGAUGAGUGGCGAACGGGUGAGUAACACGUUAGUAACCUGCCCCCUUCUUCUGGAUAACCGCAUGAAAGUGUGGCUAAUACGGGAUAUUCUGGGUCUGUCGCAUGAUGGGUCUGGGAAAGAUAUUGUUUCGGUGGGUGAUGGGCUCGCGGCCUAUCAGCUUGUUGGUGGGGUGAUGGCCUACCAAGGCGGUGACGGGUAGCCGGCCUGAGAGGGUGGACGGUCACACUGGGACUGAGACACGGCCGAGACUCCUACGGGGGGCAGCAGUGGGGAAUAUUGCACAAUGGGCGCAAGCCUGAUGCAGCGACGCCGCGUGAGGGAUGGAGGCCUUCGGGUUGUGAACCUCUUUCGCCAGUGAAGCAGGCCUGCCUCGUUUGUGGGUGGGUUGACGGUAGCUGGAUAAGAAGCGCCGGCUAACUACGUG